rnacentral:rRNA from 1 species
UACGUAGGGGGCAAGCGUUGUCCGGAUUUAUUGGGCGUAAAGAGCUCGUAGGUGGUUUGUCGCGUUGUCCGUGAAAACUCACAACUCAAUUGUGGGCGUGCGGGCGAUACGGGCAGACUGGAGUACUGCAGGGGAGACUGGAAUUCCUGGUGUAGCGGUGGAAUGCGCAGAUAUCAGGAGGAACACCGGUGGCGAAGGCGGGUCUCUGGGCAGUAACUGACGCUGAGGAGCGAAAGCGUGGGGAGCAAACAGG